CUGGUUGAUCCUGCCAGUAGUCAUAUGCUUGUCCCAAAGAUUAAGCCAUGCAUGUCCAAGUAUAAACCACUUUAUACGGUGAAACUGCGAAUGGCUCAUUAUAUCAGUUAUCAUUUACUUGAUAGUCUCUUUAUCAUUGGAUAACCGUGGUAAUUCUAGAGCUAAUACAUGCAGCAGGGCCGACUCGCGAGGGAAGGCGCGUAUUUAUUAGAUUAAAAACCGAUGCCAGCAAUGGCGCGUGGUGAUUCAUAAUAACUCACUUGACCGUAUGGCCGUGGCCGACGACGUUUCAUUCAACUCU
rnacentral:rRNA from 1 species